UACGGAGGGUGCAAGCGUUAUUCGGAUUUACUGGGCAUAAAGAGCGCGUAGGCGGUCUGCUAAGUCUGAUGUGAAAUCCCUGGACUCAAUCCAGGAAGUGCAUCGGAUACUGACAGACUCGAGUACAGGAGAGGAGAGCGGAAUUCCAGGUGUAGAGGUGAAAUUCGUAGAUAUCUGGAGGAACAACAGAGGCGAAGGCGGCUCUCUGGACUGUAACUGACGCUGAGGCGCGAAAGCGUGGGGAGCAAACAGG
rnacentral:rRNA from 1 species